UGGCUCAGGAUGAACGCUGGCGGCGUGCCUAAUACAUGCAAGUCGAGCGAACGGACGAGAAGCUUGCUUCUCUGAUGUUAGCGGCGGACGGGUGAGUAACACGUGGAUAACCUACCUAUAAGACUGGGAUAACUUCGGGAAACCGGAGCUAAUACCGGAUAAUAUUUUGAACCGCAUGGUUCAAAAGUGAAAGACGGUCUUGCUGUCACUUAUAGAUGGAUCCGCGCUGCAUUAGCUAGUUGGUAAGGUAACGGCUUACCAAGGCAACGAUGCAUAGCCGACCUGAGAGGGUGAUCGGCCACACUGGAACUGAGACACGGUCCAGACUCCUACGGGAGGCAGCAGUAGGGAAUCUUCCGCAAUGGGCGAAAGCCUGACGGAGCAACGCCGCGUGAGUGAUGAAGGUCUUCGGAUCGUAAAACUCUGUUAUUAGGGAAGAACAUAUGUGUAAGUAACUGUGCACAUCUUGACGGUACCUAAUCAGAAAGCCACGGCUAACUACGUGCCAGCAGCCGCGGUAAUACGUAGGUGGCAAGCGUUAUCCGGAAUUAUUGGGCGUAAAGCGCGCGUAGGCGGUUUUUUAAGUCUGAUGUGAAAGCCCACGGCUCAACCGUGGAGGGUCAUUGGAAACUGGAAAACUUGAGUGCAGAAGAGGAAAGUGGAAUUCCAUGUGUAGCGGUGAAAUGCGCAGAGAUAUGGAGGAACACCAGUGGCGAAGGCGACUUUCUGGUCUGUAACUGACGCUGAUGUGCGAAAGCGUGGGGAUCAAACAGGAUUAGAUACCCUGGUAGUCCACGCCGUAAACGAUGAGUGCUAAGUGUUAGGGGGUUUCCGCCCCUUAGUGCUGCAGCUAACGCAUUAAGCACUCCGCCUGGGGAGUACGACCGCAAGGUUGAAACUCAAAGGAAUUGACGGGGACCCGCACAAGCGGUGGAGCAUGUGGUUUAAUUCGAAGCAACGCGAAGAACUUUACCAAAUCUUGACAUCCUUUGACAACUCUAGAGAUAGAGCCUUCCCCUUCGGGGGACAAAGUGACAGGUGGUGCAUGGUUGUCGUCAGCUCGUGUCGUGAGAUGUUGGGUUAAGUCCCGCAACGAGCGCAACCCUUAAGCUUAGUUGCCAUCAUUAAGUUGGGCACUCUAAGUUGACUGCCGGUGACAAACCGGAGGAAGGUGGGGAUGACGUCAAAUCAUCAUGCCCCUUAUGAUUUGGGCUACACACGUGCUACAAUGGACAAUACAAAGGGCAGCGAAACCGCGAGGUCAAGCAAAUCCCAUAAAGUUGUUCUCAGUUCGGAUUGUAGUCUGCAACUCGACUACAUGAAGCUGGAAUCGCUAGUAAUCGUAGAUCAGCAUGCUACGGUGAAUACGUUCCCGGGUCUUGUACACACCGCCCGUCACACCACGAGAGUUUGUAACACCCGAAGCCGGUGGAGUAACCUUUUAGGAGCUAGCCGUCGAAGGUGGGACAAAUGAUUGGGGUGAAGUCGUAACAAGGUAGCCGUAUCGGAAGGUGCGGCUGGAUCACCUCCUUU
rnacentral:rRNA from 1 species